CCUACGGGCGGCAGCAGUGGGGGAUAUUGCACAAUGGGGGAAACCCUGAUGCAGCGACGCCGCGUGUGGGAAGACGGUCCUCUGGAUUGUAAACCACUGUCCCCAGGGACGAAGAUGACGGUACCUGGGGAGGAAGCUCCGGCUAACUACGUGCCAGCAGCCGCGGUAAUACGUAGGGAGCGAGCGUUGUCCGGAAUUACUGGGUGUAAGGGGAGCGUAGGCGGGACUGCAAGUUGGGUGUCAAAUCUACCGGCUCAACCGGUAGCCGCACUCAAAACUGCAGUUCUUGAGUGAAGUAGAGGCAGGCGGAAGUCCUAGUGUAGCGGUGAAAUGCGUAGAUAUUAGGAGGAACACCAGUGGCGAAGGCGGCCUGCUGGGCUUUUACUGACGCUGAGGCUCGAAAGUGUGGGGAGCAAACAGGAUUAGAUACCCUGGUAGUC
rnacentral:rRNA from 1 species